rnacentral:sRNA from 1 species
GCCAGGCAUGGUAGUGCACACCUGUAAUCCCAGCAGCUUGGGAGGCUGAGACAGGAGGAUUACAAGUUGCAAAGUCAACCUUAGCAGCUUAGUGAGACCCUAAGCAACUUAGUAGACCCUGUCUCAA